rnacentral:piRNA from 1 species
UGAUCCGUGUCAGUGUCUACCCAUUCA